GUCUACAGCCAUGCCACCCUGAACAAGCCCGAUCCCGUCUGAUCUCGGAAGCUAAGCAGUGUCAGGCCUGGUUAGUACUUAGAUGGGAGACCACCUAGGAAGACCAGGUACUAUAGGCA
rnacentral:rRNA from 1 species